rnacentral:rRNA from 1 species
UACGGAGGGUGCAAGCGUUGUCCGGAUUUAUUGGGUUUAAAGGGUGCGUAGGCGGUCGAAUAAGUCAGCGGUGAAAUCCUCCGGCUCAACUGGAGAACUGCCGUUGAUACUGUUUGACUUGAGUUCGUCCGAGGUCGCUGGAAUGCGUGGUGUAGCGGUGAAAUGCAUAGAUAUCACGCAGAACACCGAUUGCGAAGGCAGGUGACUGGGACGCGACUGACGCUGAGGCACGAAAGUGUGGGGAGCAAACAGG